AUUGAACGCUGGCGGCAGGCUUAACACAUGCAAGUCGAGCGGGGUGAUGGUGCUUGCACUAUCACUUAGCGGCGGACGGGUGAGUAAUGCUUAGGAAUCUGCCUAUUAGUGGGGGACAACAUCUCGAAAGGGAUGCUAAUACCGCAUACGUCCUACGGGAGAAAGCAGGGGAUCACUUGUGACCUUGCGCUAAUAGAUGAGCCUAAGUCGGAUUAGCUAGUUGGUGGGGCAAAGGCCUACCAAGGCGACGAUCUGUAGCGGGUCUGAGAGGAUGAUCCGCCACGCUGGGACUGAGACACGGCCCAGACUCCUACGGGAGGCAGCAGUGGGGAAUAUUGGACAAUGGGGGGAACCCUGAUCCAGCCAUGCCGCGUGUGUGAAGAAGGCCUUAUGGUUGUAAAGCACUUUAAGCGAGGAGGAGGCUCUUUUGGUUAAUACCCAAGAUGAGUGGACGUUACUCGCAGAAUAAGCACCGGCUAACUCUGUGCCAGCCGCCGCAGUAA
rnacentral:rRNA from 1 species